rnacentral:rRNA from 1 species
CCUACGGGUGGCUGCAGUGGGGAAUAUUGCACAAUGGGGGAAACCCUGAUGCAGCGACGCCGCGUGAGUGAAGAAGUAUCUCGGUACGUAAAGCUCUAUCAGCAGGGAAGAAAAUGACGGUACCUGUCCAAGAAGCCCCGGCUAACUACGUGCCAGCUGCCGCGGUAAUACGGAGGAGGCAAGCGUUAUCCGGAUUUACUGGGUGUAAAGGGAGCGUAGACGGGAGCACAAGUCAGUAGUGAAAGCCCGGGGCGUAACCCCGGAACUGCUUUGGAAACUGGGCGGCUGGAGUGCAGGAGAGGUAAGCGGAAUUCCUGGUGUAGCGGUGAAAUGCGUAGAUAUUAGGAAGAACACCGGUGGCGAAGGCGGCUUACUGGACUGUGACUGACGUUGAGGCUCGAAAGCGUGGGGAGCAAACAGGAUUAGAUACCCGUGUAGUC